rnacentral:rRNA from 1 species
UACGAAGGGUGCAAGCGUUACUCGGAAUUACUGGGCGUAAAGCGUGCGUAGGUGGUUCGUUAAGUCUGAUGUGAAAGCCCGAGGCUCAACCUCGGGUCGGCCGUGCGAACUGGGUCACUGGAGCAGAAUAGAGGCAGGUGGAAUUCCGGGUGUAGCGGUGGAAUGCGUAGAGAUCCGGAAGAACACCGGUGGCGAAGGCGGCCUGCUGGGUUCUGGCUGACACUGAGGCGCGACAGCGUGGGGAGCAAACAGG